UGUAUGCCAUGCAUAACAUACUGUGGAUAGAAAUUACAGGGAAAGUUACUGGUAUGAUAAUUGUGGUUAUAUUAUAUUACUAUUAUAUUUAGUGUAUUGCUAAUCAAUAUAUUGUUACUUCCCAGAUGACAGCGGCUCACUUCAAGAGCAGGUGAAGCAAGUUGGGACAAUGUUGAAGACAUUUGCUCGCACUGGGCAAUCAGGUGCAGAUCAAACCCUAAUGCUGCGACGUCUUGGAAUUUGGCGAUGUUGUGCGUAGCAUGGACGACAAAAUGCUAUGCUGCAACGUUUCAGUGCCAAUGUGUCUGUUGGAGAGUUAUCCCUGCCAGGGGAUCUGUUACUCCCCCCUAGACACCCAGGAAGAUUUGGCGUUGCUUGACAACAGUUUGAGGCAGGAUAAAGAGCUCCAGCAACGAUUUCUUCGGUUUUUGGCAAUCAAAUGUGGGAGGGACCUAAAGACAACCGUG